UACGUAGGGUGCAAGCGUUAUCCGGAAUUAUUGGGCGUAAAGCGCACGUAGGCGGCUUUGUAAGUUAGAGGUGAAAGCCCAGGGCUUAACCCUGGAAUUGCCUUUAAGACUGCAUCGCUAGAAUCGUGGAGAGGUGAGUGGAAUUCCGAGUGUAGAGGUGAAAUUCGUAGAUAUUCGGAAGAACACCAGUGGCGAAGGCGACUCACUGGACACGUAUUGACGCUGAGGUGCGAAAGCGUGGGGAGCAAACAGG
rnacentral:rRNA from 1 species